UCCCUGGUGGUCCAGUGGUUAAGACUCUAUGCUUCCACUGCAGAGGACAGGGGUUCAAUCCCUAGUCAGGGAA
rfam:Ovis aries breed Texel chromosome 1, whole genome shotgun sequence.